UUGAAUGGGUUGCAUAUGUGAGUCCAUAUUAAAUAUAGUAAUGAAACACAGACUUACUCACAAUCAUUUAAUUAUACUUUGACGACCGGUUUCGAUCUCUACAAUAUACAGAUCAUCUUCAGGUCGGCGUUACAAGUAGUUAAAUGCUACAAUAAGAGAAAACUUGUGUUAGACCAGUGUCUGAUUGAAGAGAUGUUAAUAGAAAGCCAAAUUUAAAAAUUUUUUAUAAAAUUUUUUGAAAUAAAGGUUUGCAACUGUUGACAUUUCAGAAUAUUGGUAUAUACAAAGUCAAACCUAUGAGUAAAAAUGCUCAUAGGCAUGUAUGUGCAAAUGGGUGCAUACAGUUUGAAUUUGUUGAGAUUAAAAUUUUUAACCAUUAAAAAACAAAAUAAACAUAAACUGACUUAAAUAUGCUUCCAAAUUCAAAGUAGUAAUAAUAAAAAAUAAAAGAGAUAGUAAUAUUGUUCUAAUCUACUUACAUGCCGUUACAAGGAUUGCGUUGCAACUUAGUUGUUGUCAUAUUAGUACGUCCAAAUUAUGCUAAUUGGUUUGUUGGGAUAGUGAUAGGGUAAACAGACAUGUUACGUAGGUUAAAACACAGUAAGAUUUCAAAUUUGGAAUUGAUCCUGAAGGAAGAUGCGUAUGUGAAACGGGUGAUGUUUUGUUCGAAUGGAGAAAGACAAUGCUCCAGGAGUUGCGUAUUAAUUGUAGCAAAGUAUGAAAUGUUAUUCUAGGAUCUUGUACAAAUGUGAUGGUCUAAGCUCGUAGAUGUUAUACGAUGCGGGCAGAGGUCAAAGUAUAGGACAUGACAAAUAGGAAAUUGUUGUCAUAAAUUAAUACAAUUUAAGAUAUGUUGUUCUCAGUAAAUUAACUGAGGGAUGUCAUAAGUAUAAUAAUAUCAUAAUAUUAUGAAGUAGUAAGUGCCAUACACUAUGAAACUAUGAAGUGUAUAGAAAUAAAGGGAAACUAGUUAGUUAAAUGAAAAAAUUAUUAUCAAAACAUCGGUUAAGAAACUGUAAAUUGAAAAAUUUUAAAAAGGUAAGAAAUUGAUAAAAUUAAAGAAUAUUUUGUUUGAGCUAUUGUAUAAUGGGAUAUGUACAAAGAAAAAGAAAGAAACGAAAUAUUAAUGGAAGGGUGUAGGCACUUACUUGAGAAUAGUUUUUAACUAAAUAAAUAAAUUAACACAUAACACAUAGGGUUUAAAAGCACAAAGACAUAACAAUUAUUGGUAAAAAGUUUUUUAAGGGAGGUAGCACUACAUUUCCCCAAUUACUAUUUAACUUAGUUUUUACUUCCUAAAUUGAAGUCUAGUUUUUGUGUUUUCAAGAGGGAAUAUUGACAGUGUAGACAGAUGUAGGUUAUCUGAAAUGUCAAAACACUUCUUCUCAAAUGUUGUACAGUAAUUGCCUAUUUUAAUUAAAUCUCUUAGUAACAUAAAGUAUACAGCAUUUUCAAAUUUUACAAAAAAGAUAGUUGUUAAUUUAUAGCAUUAAUAACAAAAUCUAAACUAUAUGUGUAACCACUAUUGUGAAAAAAUGUUGUAACAAUAAUAAAAGUACAUGAUUAAAAGAUAACAGAUGUAUUAUUCUACAUUAGUAUUCAAGUAGAGAAGAAUUAAAGUAGAGAAGAAGUGUUGAGUUUAAGUGUAAGUAGGCAGUGCAUAAUCUAACGUACAAGCAUAUCACCUGUUGCAUAAUUGUAGAUGAGUAAGAUAAAUUGAUUAGCCUAGUCUAUUUAAAUUUAGUAAAUGAAAACAGAUAUAAAACGUGAAAGUUAUAACAAAGAAAAAGAAAAAUAAAAGAAAGUUGGUUGGUAGUAUUGUUAAUAUUGCAGUCGUGGCAAUGCCACGUCAACGAGGUCAGAGGAAACGGAAUGUUUAAUGACAGGUGUGUAGAGGGAGGUAGGGGGGGGGUGUUAAUUUAAAAGAGAACCUAAAGUUUGUUUAAAUCCUAUUUGUAUGUAAGUAUUGGUGCCAACCAACUUCCUCAUGCGCCAUAAAUGUUGUAGGUUACAUUUUUAUAUCACCACGUGGAGAAGUGCAGAUGGUAAUUGAUUGUCCAGUAAUGAAGCUAAGAUGGGAAAAUUGGCUGUGUACUGAGCUACAAAAUCAUCAAAUUCUACAGGAAACGAACAAUGGAGAAUGGAUUUGAAUAAAAUUAAAAUUAGCGGGAUUUUGGAAAUUAAGAGUUAUUCAGGACGUGGCCCUUUUUGCAGAUGUGAAGAAUUUUGAAAUCAAUGUCCGGAUUGAAAUUAUGGUUGGAGUUACGGAUAUGUUGGGAAAAAUGAGAUUGUCCAGAUGUUGGGCGCUGUAUGUAUCUAAGAUGUUCCUUCAAUCUGGUGUCGAACGAUCUAAAGGUUCUUCCGACGUAAUAUGACGAGCAG
rnacentral:lncRNA from 1 species